rnacentral:rRNA from 1 species
UUGAACGCUGGCGGCAUGCCUUACACAUGCAAGUCGAACGGUAGAGGGGCAACCCUUGAGAGUGGCGAACGGGUGAGUAAUGCAUCGGAACGUGCCCAGUCGUGGGGGGUAACGCAGCGAAAGCUGUGCUAAUACCGCAUGUGAUCUGUGGAUGAAAGCAGGGGACCGCAAGGCCUUGUGCGAUUGGAGCGGCCGAUGUCAGAUUAGCUAGUUGGUAGGGUAAAAGCCUACCAAGGCGACGAUCUGUAGCUG